rnacentral:piRNA from 1 species
UGAGUGCUACUGACGAAGCGUGCACAC